UAAAAACCCCGACUUCGGAAGGGGUGUAUUUAUUAGAUACAAAACCAAUGCCCUUCGGGGCUCUUUGGUGAUUCAUGAUAACUAUACGAAUCGCACGGCCUUGCGCCGGCGAUGGUUCAUUCAAAUUUCUUCCCUAUCAACUUUCGAUGUUUGGGUAUUGGCCAAACAUGGUUGCAACGGGUAACGGAGGGUUAGGGCUCGACCCCGGAGAAGGAGCCUGAGAAACGGCUACUACAUCCAAGGAAGGCAGCAGGCGCGCAAAUUACCCAAUCCCGACUCGGGGAGGUAGUGACAAUAAAUACUGAUACAGGGCCCUUUCGGGCCUUGUAAUUGGAAUGAGUACAAUUUAAAUCCCUUAACGAGGAACAAUUGGAGGGCAAGUCUGGUGCCAGCAGCCGCGGUAAUUCCAGCUCCAAUAGCGUAUAUUAAAGUUGUUGUGGUUAAAAAGCUCGUAGUUGAACCUUGGGCCUGGCUGGCCGGUACGCCUCACCGCGUGCACUGGUCAGGCCGGGCCUUUCCCUCUGUGGAACCCCAACCCUUCAUUGAGCGUGGCGGGGUAAUAGAAAAGUAAAAUGA
rnacentral:rRNA from 1 species